rnacentral:lncRNA from 1 species
GAACUUACUAAGCAUUAUAUGCUUACUUUGUUUAUUUCAUUUGUUUUAUAGUACUCGGAAGCUCGUAAAGGUUGGAAGUUGAUCGGAACAUCAUCAAACUAUUUCCUCUUCUCAUUUUGGUACAAUUAUAAAACUAAAUUGAAUUAUAAUGACAUGUAUAGAUUAUUUAGCCAAUGAUGACAUGAUAAUGUUUUGGUUGUAACUAGUCAUUUGAAUGGCUAGUGUUAGACAUAUUUUGUUGUAAUUAUAUAAGGCCUUAUUAUGCUUGAUACAUGUGUUGAAAUGGUUGAAUGCUGGAAGUCACAUAAGUAUGUUAAAGGUUGCAUCAAUUGGUAAAAUAUACUUGUAACACUUCUAACCCGUAUUCGUCACCGAAACAGGGUUUAGAAGCAUUACCAGGGUUUACCGACCAAACUCAAAUAUUUCAUAUUACUUUCAUAGCAGAAAUUAGUCAUAAAUUUAUCACAUCAUCUCUUAUAUGAGCCCUCGAGGCCCAAAACAUACAUUAGAAACAAGUCGGGACUAAAUUGGAAACUCGGAGAAUUUUUCGCAAAAUUUCAAAAAUUUCCAAGGUGCAGGGGACACACGCUCGUGGUCAGGCCGUAUGGCUCACACGACCAAGUGACACACCCGUGUUCUAGACCAUGUGGUAUUUGAAGUAGGGCACAUGGCCGUGUCUCUAGCCCGUGUAACUCUCUAACUUGUAAUACAUUUAAAUGCAGGGGUCACGCGGCCAAGCCACACAUCCGUGUGCCAAGCCGUGUGAUCAAUUUUGAGCAUUCUGUUUUGAAAUUUUAAGAUGUAGGGGACACACAGCCAGAACGCACGCCCAUGUGCUAGGCAUGACUGAGACGCACGCCCGUGUCUCUGUCCAUGUGGACAAAAUAAUGUCAUUUCCAAGCCUUAUUCUUCACCCAAUUUCACCUUCCACCUAUAUAAACAUUUAAACACAUUCAAGAGCCAAUUCAAGACAUUUAAACCUAGCCAAAUUCAAGUCUUAUGCAUGACAUAUUAAUACCUAUGAUCAAAUGUCCAACUUACCAAGAUAGCCUGAUACUUAUAAACAUGUUUUACCAAAUACACUAUCACAGACUAAUAUCCAAUAUAUUUACAUGAUUUUCCUCAUCCAACCCUUUAAACAUACUCAUCAAGCAUAUUAAGACUAUUUGCAUAUCAAAACAUAUCAUUUAAUAGCCAUUCCAAUGGUUAAUUUCAACCAACAUUAAAUUGCUAUCAAUGGUAACUUUAACCUAUACAUGUCAUUAUUACCAAAAUUAGUUUACUAUUUAUAUAGAUACCGAAAAGUCCAAGGGAUAGUGUGAUGUAGCUCUGACCAACUUCCAAACUUUACGAGCCUCCGAGUACUAUAAAACAGAAGAAAUAAGACAGAGUAAGCAUUUAAUUCUUAGUAAGUUCGUAUAAUGGGAAAUUAACUUACCAUUCAUUUAUUUAUAUAAUAAACAUGCAUAAUUCAUCCAAAGUAAUUUGACAAUUAGCCUAACACAUAUAACCUCAACAAACAUGUUAAUCAUGUAUUUCAUGUGAAUAAAAAAACAAGGAUGAGCUCAUCAGGUAUACAAAUAAUAGUUUCAUUUUGAUUUCACAUGUUCUCAUGUCAGAAUUUCAUCCGUUGAAUCAUUUGAAAUCUAGAUAGAUACUUGGGUAGUACACCUGAAGCGUACAACACUAUAAAUCUGUCAAUUCACAUUCGAGAGUGUUUUUAUGAGCACUUAAACGGAAAGCUCUCUCUCAAGCACUAUAACGGGAAGCUCAUUGAGUCUUGUAACGGAAAGCUUAUCCGGGCAAUAUAACGGGAAGCUCACAAAGAGCCUAUAACAAGUAGCUCCAAAGAGUAAUUAACGAGUAGUUCCGAAGAGCAACUAACAGGAAGCACCGGAUAGCCAUAUAACGGGAAGUUCAAGCGAGCACUACUGGAAAGCUCACAAAGAGCCUUUAAUCGGGAAGCUCACGAAGAUCCAUAUAACGAGACGCUCAUAAGAGCUGCGGUGUGCCCACAACACAUGUAGGGUCACAACCGAUCGGGAUGCUCCGAAGAGCAUUUAACGGGAAGCUUGCAAGAACACUAUAAUGGGAAGCUUGAGAGGGCUUGUAACGGGACGCUCUUUCGAGUUACGGUACGUCUGCAACAUAUGUAAGAACACUGUCAUUUCGGGAAACAAAACCCUGUAUCCAUCAAAUAUCAUUAUCCAAACGGGACUUGUUUAUUUAUUAGGGAUUUUUCAGUUACAAGAUCAAUUACAUACACAUAUAUGAUAUUUACACAAUUUACAUAUUCAACACUUAAUACAAGCAUAUAAAUAUACACAAUUAAGUUACACGAACUUAACUCGACAAUUGUUCGUGACUUGUAAAUUACUAAUCUGAUACUUUUUCUUUUCCACGAUCUAACUCCGUUUUUGAUCUAUCCAGAUCUAUACGAGUAAAUUUAACACCAAUUUAAUACAAGUUACAUUCAAUUCAAUCCAAGUCACAUCUUAGGCAAAAUUACCGUUUUACCCCUAUACUUUUAAUUAAUGAUGAUACCAUCCAUAGGCUCGGAAAAUAAAAUUCAUGCAAUUUAAUCAUUAUACCAAGCCUAGAUAUUUUUAUAUAUAUCAAUAUCAGCCCAUGAAAUUUCAAAAUUUUUCCAUGAAUUCAACAACUUUUCAAUUUAAUCCCUAAAUCAUGAUUUCAUCCAAAAUCUUUUAAUAAAAUACCUUUAAAUAUCCAUUAACAUAUCAAUUUCAUCAUAUAAUAACUAAAAUCAUAUAAAUUUAUCAACAGUAUCUUCCAAGACUUUCAACAAAAUAAAAAACUAAUGAAAUGGUUAGUUGGACCUAAUUGUAAAAGUCCCAAAACAUAAAAUUUCAAGGAAAGAGCAAGAAUUAAACUUACAUGAAGAAAAUAUUGAAAAACCAGCUUAAACCCUCUUCAAUGGUUGUUUUAGAACUAAAAAAUGAUGAUGAAAAUGUUUAAAAUUUAAAUUUCCCUUUUAAUUCACUUAAAUUUCGCAAAAUUUACAAUUUUGACCUUAUUUCACAUCAAUUUCUUGAUUUUUCUAUGCUUAUGCCGCCUCAGCCAUCCCAUGUGGGUCCAAUUGCCCUUUUAGUCCUCUUUUAUUCACUAUUUAAGCUAUUUAAUCACUAUUUAUUUAAUUAGUAAGUUUUACACUUUUUCCAAUUUAGUCAUUUUUAAUUAAUUAACUACCAAAAUGUUAAAAUUUUCUAACAAAACUUUAGUACUACCUUAAUGACACUCCAUAAAUAUUUAUAAAAAUAUUUAUAGAUCGGUUUAUAGGACCGAUAUCUCAAUACCUCUUUUCUAAAUCACUUAACGUAAUAAAGCCUUAUAAAACACAAAUUACUAAUUCAAAAAUCUUUUAAAAACCACAUUUGGCUCAUAAAUAUUAAAUAAUAAAAACUCAAGAGCUUAUUUUCCGGAUUUGAUGGUCUCGAACCACUGUUUUCGACAUCACUAAAAAUCGGGCUGUUACAAUACUAUUAUGUUUAUAUGGCCAAAUAGGUAAGAUUGAAUACUUGGAAAUAUAGGAUGUUAUGACAUGAAUUGAGCUUGAAAUUGGCUUGAGUUGAAGGUUUUAUUGUAACUUGUAAUUGUGCAAAAUUGGUUGGUUAGGUUGAUGGCAAGUUGGGUGAGAAAUGUGGCAUUGGAAAUGGCUUAAUUUCAUCCACACGGGUGGAGACACGGGCGUGUGUCUCAGUUGUGUGUGACACACAGCCAUGCACACGGGCGUGUGAUUUGUUCGUGUGUCCUUUACAUCUUACAAAUUGAGAAACAAAAUGCUUCGAAUUGCUCACACGGACAGAGACACGAGUGUGUGUCUCAGCCAUGUGUAUCACACGGGCGUGUGAACCUUGCACCUUAAUUAUGCAAGUCAGUAUGCUCACACGGCCUAGCACACGGGCGUGUGGCUCGGCCGUUUGACCAAGUCAGAAUACCCCUUUAAUUGGAUACAACCUGGGACACGGGUGUGUCACUUGGCCGUGUGAGCCACACGGUCUGGCCACACGGGCGUGUGUCCCCUGCACCCAGGAAAAAUUUUAAAAUUUGGCGAAAAAUUCUCUAAGUUCCCGAUUUAGUCCUGACUUGUUUCUAACGCAUAUUUUGCGUCUCGGGGGCCAUUUAAGGGACAACAUGAUUGAAUAUAUUUGAUUUCGGAUAUCAUUAGUAAACGAUAUGAGCUAACUGUAUUUGAUCUGUAAACUCCAGUAAUGCUCCGUAACUCUAUUCCGGCGAUGGAUAUGUGUUAAGAGUGUUACAAGAAAAAUGUAGAAUAUAUAUUUUUAUUCUUUUUAAUUUUGUACAAUAACCAUGUAUGCAUGUUCAUAUUAAUACUUAAAAAUUUAAAUUAUUUUUUAAUUCUAAUCACAAUAAACAUUGUCUUAAUUUGUCGAUAAUUUCAUAAGACUUUAAAGAGUGUCUAUGUCCAAACAAAACUUGCAUGAUGAUCAUAAUUUAUCUCUCUUGUAUUAAGAAAAUCUGUCGAAUCUAGCAAUAACCUCCGCUUUCUAUUUUAAUUCCUAAAUCCUCUAGGUUCAACAUUUAAAACCUAUAGCAAGUUUUUUAUUUUUUCUUUCAAUGAAAGCUAUAAGGAAAAAAGUGAUAGGUGAUUAACAUUUAAAGAUAAUUAUACUUUAUUAAAGUUUCGUUAAGAAAUUUCAAAGUUCUUGCUCCCAAGAGUGCUUGGUUGAGAAACCCUAGAGAUAGCAGUAACUACUGUGGCUGGGGAUGGAAGCAAGCGGUGGCGACGAUAGAGAGGAAGGGGAUGAGAUCGGUCUUCUUGCUGAAGAAUUAGUUCAACUAUCAGUCAAAGGAUCGUUGAUGGUACCAAGUUCCAAACCUACAUUGAUUUGUACGGUUUGGACGGGGAAAUUAUAUAACCCAGAUAGUUUUAGGGCUCAUAUGAAAAGUUUAUGGAAGACAAGAAAAAAGUUUGAAAUCAGAUUGGUGGGACAAAACUUAUUUCUAAUAAUUUUUGAGAUGGUAGAAGAUCUGGAGUUGAUUUUGGAGGGGAGACCUUGGCUCUUUCAUAAAAACUUAAUUUUAUUUGACAGGUUACACCAAGCGGUGGAAAGAGAUCAGAUAAAGUUAACUUCAUCCCCGUUUUGGAUAAAAAUUGAGUCGUGUUUCCCAGAGUUCGACAAGAAAUAUCUAUUGCAUGCCAUUGGUUCUACGUUUGGUGGGGUCCUCAGAUCUGAAAUUAGUGAAGAUUUCUGCCGACUCAGAGUUAAUUUGGAUGUUCAAAUAACACUUAGAAGAGGUAUUUUUGUUUCUAAUGCUUAUGUUAGUAAAGUUUGGAUACCCUUCAAGUAUGAAAACUUGCCAAUAUUCUAUUUUGAAUGCGGAAGAAUGGGGCAUGGGAUGAGUAAUUGCACCCAGCUAUUACCUGCAAGAAAAAAUAAAAUCAGUGAAAAUCCUCCUUAUUCUGUGGCCUUAAAAGCAGAAUCAAGAUUAAUUGGAAAAUAAAGUGAGAAAUUUAAUAGUUUGAAGAAACAGAUGGGGGUUCAGAGUUCUUAUAUCGGAGAAGAGAGAAUUUCACCCAAUAGUAUUAAAUGUGCUGAGAAAGGAAGCAAUGAAGAGGGGGCCCGCAGGAGAAUUUGAAAUUAAAAGAAGGGGAGGAGAUGCCAGAAGAACAGGAAGGUAUUUUGGAGGUAGAAGAAGCUGAGAAGGUGAAUUUAAAGGAAAUGGGGAAGAUGCUAAAAGAAUAUGCAGGUAUUUGGAGACAAGGGGAAGCUGAGAAGGUGAGUAAUUGUAAUAGAGAGAAAAGCCAAAAUCCAAAUCAAGAGAAACAAGAAAAAUGGAUAAGCAUUCAACAUGGCACAACAACGACAAAAGCUGGAAAUAAUACGAGGAAGAUGAAGCCCAUUGAUGCAGAUUUUACCAGUGAUCAUACAGGAAAAUGAGACAGAGAUGGAAUUAAAAGGUUGAAAUAGGAUACUUCAGACUACUACAAAGGCCCUGUGGAAAUGGUGACAGACACUAAUGAGCAAAUUGAAGUUCAAGAUUUAUUGAUAUCGGCGGCUGCUAAUAGGCAAGCCGACCGGACGCAAUGAAAACCAUCAGCUGGAAUGUUCGUGGAUUGGGGAGUCCACGAGCUGGAAGAAGGCAUCAUUACUUCCUCAAGCAGCACAAUCCCCAAAUGGUCUUCUUAAUGGAGACCAAAGUUGAUAGACAGAGGAUGGAAAAAAUCAGACAGAGAUGCGGUUUUAUGAAUGGUAUUGAUAUAGAAGCACAAGGUUCGAAAGGAGGAUUAUGCUUAGCAUGGAAAUGUGACACCAAAGUAAGUUUACGAAGUUUUUUUAGGAAUCACAUUGAUGUUCUGGUUGAAGAGGAACAGGGUAACAAAGAGUGGAGAUUUACAGGUUUCUAUGGCUCUCCAUAUGUCCACAAUAAGAGUGAUUCGUGGGAUUUACUGAUAAAUCUGAGGCAAGAUAACAGCCACCCAUGAUUGGUAAGUGGUGACUUCAAUGAGAUCAUGUAUUAUUUUGAGAAAUGUGGGGGUGCCCCAAGGGAAGAGACCAGAAUGAAGGUAUUUUGAGAGGUCUUAGAGAAUUGCCAUUUAGAAGAUUUGGGUUUUUCGGGAGUAUGGUUUACAUGGGAAAGGGGAAAUUUACCAGAGACAAAUAUUAGAGAAAGACUUGAUAGGGGGUGGUAAAUGAUAAAUGGAGGCUCCUUUUCCCAGCAGGUAGAGUUAACCAUCUACCCCACACAAUGUCAGACCACUGCCCACUUCUAAUUAACACAGAUGGCGAAAGCAUUUAUAAUGGCAAUUCAAAAUUUAAAUUUGAAGCGUGGUGGUUGAUGGAGGAUACUUGUGAAAAAAUAAUUAAAGAAUCUUGGGAGUCAGGAACAGGCCCAGUAGCUGAGAAACUUGGAAAGUUGCAAGCAGAUUUAUUAGAUUGGGCGAGAAGGAUUAAGAAAGGUCGGGAGGGGCUAAAGAAAAAGUUAACGAAGCAGCUGGAAGUGUUAAUGGGGAAAGAAAGGAAUGACAACACAAUGGCAGACAUUGUAAACACUAAGGUCCACCUAAAUAUGGAAAUUGAUAAGGAUGAAAUAUAUUGGGAACAAAGAGCAAGGGCAAAUUGGCUGAAAGUGGGUGAUAAAAAUACAGUUUUUUUCACAGGUUUACUACUUCUAGAAGACGUAUAAAUUCAAUAUCCAAAUUGGAGAAAUCUGUGGGCGGAGAAGCAACUGAGGAGAGUGAGAUUAAUGAUGUGGCCACCUCCUAUUUUCAGGAACUUUUCACGACAAAAGGAAGGGCGGAAUGUUCAUAUCUCCUAUCGUGAAUAAAGGAAAAUAUUUCAUCUGAUAUCAAUAGAGAGCUAAUGUUAACCUUUACAGCAGAAGAAUUGUAUGCGGCAUUAAAGGAAAUGGGACCAACAAAAGCUCCAGGAUAUGAUAGUUUUCCAGCCAUUUUCUUUCAGAAAUUCUGGCAUAUCGUAGGUAAGGAAAUAACCAAUCUUUGCUUGGAAUUUUUAAAUAACGGUGCAAGUUUUGGUAAUUUAAAUCACACCGACAUUGUGCUGAUCCCAAAAAUUCCAAAUCCUACUAGCAUAGUUAAUUUCAGACCUAUCAGUUUAUGUUUAGUAAUCUACAAAAUGGUGGCAAAAAUAAUUGCAACUCGACUACAAGCAGUUAUUAGAAGAUGCAUUGAUGCUGCUCAAAGUGCGUUCGUCCCGGGAAGGCUAAUAACAGACAAUGUGAUACUAGCUUAUGAGAUCUUACAUACUUUUCGGCAAAAGCGCACAGGAAAAAAAGGAUACAUGGCAGUUAAACUUGACAUGAGCAAAGCCUAUGAUAGGGUUGAGUGGGGAUUCUUGAAGGAAGUGAUGUUACGAAUGGGCUUCACACCAGAGUGGGUUAAGCUGAUUAUGACUUGUGUUUCCACAACAUCCUAUGCAGUUAAUACAAAUGGUAGAAGUGGAAGAGUUUUUUCACCGUCUCGAGGCUUACGUCAAGGAGAUCCGCUGAGCCCCUUUCUUUUUCUGAUUUGUAGUGAGGGGUUAUCAUCUUUAAUGAGAUUGGCUUCAGAAAAGGGACUGAUAAAGGGUGCAAAAGCAAGCAGAAGAGGACCAGAAAUUUCACAUCUACUCUUUGCAGAUGAUUGUAUGUUGUUUGGGGAAGCAUCUGAUAGGGGUGCCAGUAUACUAAAAGAAAUUUUGAAGGAAUAUGAAAAGUGUUCUGGACAGUGCGUUAAUUUCAACAAGUCUACCAUAUUUUUCAGCACCAAUACGUCAGAAGAAAAAAUGAAUGAAGUUUCGGCAAAAUUGGGGGUUAGGAUCUCAACAAACUUAGAAUGAUAUCUAGGGCUUCCAAACAUGGUUGGUCGACGAAAGAAAGAAUCCUUUCAGCAUUUAAAAGAAAAGAUUGCUACCAGGAUUGAUGGGUGGAGUACUAGAAUGUUAUCUCAAUGAGGUAAAGAAGUCUUUAUUAAAUCGGUGUUACAGGCCAUUCCAACGUACGCUAUGUCAUGCUUCUUAUUACCAAAGACUGUUUGUGGAGAAUUUGAAAAUAUUUUUGCUAAAUUUUGAUGGCAAAAAACGCAUGGUAGGAGAGGUAUUCAUGGGUGUCAGUGGAAGUACUUAUGCCGUCCUAAAGAAGAGGGUGGAUUGGGCUUUAGAAAUAUGGCUCAAUUUAAUGUUUCACUUUUAGCUAAGCAAGGAUGACGUAUUAUAAACAAUCCAAAUUCUUUAGUUGCGCAAGUAUUAAAAGCGAAAUAUUUUCCAAGUGUUGAUUUUUUAAACUCACAGUUGGGGAAUAAUAUACCGUAUACAUGGAAAAGUAUUUGGGCUGCUAAGGGCAUCCUAGCAGAGGGCUUAUGUUGGAAGGUGGGACGAGGUACAAAAAAUUUAAUCAGUCGUGAUUAUUGGAUUCCAGUUUUAUCGCGUGAUAGAUUACCAGUUUUAAGUUCAAAUUUGAAUGAUAGUAAAGUUGCAGAGCUAAUUGAUUCAAGUAGUAGAACAUGGAAACAAGAGUUGGUAGAGCAUACCUUUCCGGAGGAUGUAACAGAGAAGAUCCUCAGUAUCCCACUAGCUGAAACACCGCAUGAAGAUUUCCAAGUUUGGAGCGUUGAAGCAACGGGUGAGUUCACAACACGGAGCGCCUAUAAACUAUUACAAAGCAUUGAAAAUAACCCUGAAGCUUAUGCUUUACAAAAUGACUACAAGGACUUCUACAGAAAACUAUGGCUACUUGAUCUUCCUUCAAAAAUUAAAAUUACAGUUUGGAAUAUAUCUUGGAAUUUUCUAGCUACGCAAGCUAAUAUGCUACUUAGAAGACUGACGAACACGUCAGUAUGUCCUCGCUGUAGUUCAGGAACUGAAACUAUGGACCAUCUCUUCCGGGAAUGUCCUGCUACAAUAGCAGUAUGGAGAGAGUUAUCUUUUCAUAGGUUUUUGCAAGACAAUCAAAUAGGGUUUCUACAGUGGCUAACCUGGGUUUUCUCACAAAGCUCGACUCCUCAGCAUCGAAUCUUUUGUGUUGCAGUAUGGGCCAUCUGGGGAGACAGGAACAAUAGAUUGCAUAAAAAAGAUGGUAAAUCUGGAAAAGAAGUAGGGAGAUUUGUUCAUAGCUAUAUUUUAGAUCUUGAUGCAGUUGGUAAAAAUAGGUUGCAAUCUUCCAUAUCUGUAAAAAUAUGGACAAAGCCAGUGGACAAGGUAGUCAAAAUCAAUUUCGAUGCAGCAUACGACGGUAGACAAAGUAAAGCGGCUAUUGGGGUUGUGGCCCGCGAUAAGGAGGGUUCAGUUCUUCUAUCAUGUACAGAGGUUCAUCAAAGAGUUCCCUCAGCCUUUGGGGCGGAAGCAAUAGCGUGUCGAAAAGCCCUCCAGAUCGGCGUUAACAUGCAGUGGGAAAAAGUUAUUAUUGAAGGGGAUUCUUUAUCAAUAAUAAGAAAAUGUAAAACAAAAAGCCCCAAUAAAUCAUUAAUUAGUGCGUAUUUACAUGAUAUUCAUCAACUUCUGCUUAAAUUCAAGGAGUGUAGGUUUGAGCAUAUCCCAAGAUUAGCAAACAACCUUGCGCAUAUAUUAGCAAAUGAAGCGCUGAAGAGUAGUAGAGGAGCCUACCUGAUCGGACGAGUCCCUGAAGCGGCAGAAAUCCAAGCAGAAACUGAGAGGGCAAAAGAACCAGAUUGAAUGAAGAAAGCGAUAAAUGAAGGGAUGAGAGUAUAGAGAAGGGCAGACAUCAAAGUUAUUUCAGCAGCCCUAGAGUAAUCUCAAGCGUCUUGGAAGAGUAAAUAAAAUUGAAGAGAUAAGACGUUUGUAGUCUUUU